rnacentral:lncRNA from 10 species
AAAAAACACAAUGUUCAAAAUCUCUUCUGUUUCUAAUCCCAUCACCCUGUCCAAAUACCAUCAUCUUUAUGCUGGAAUGCUAAUAUAUUUCUGUUGGUUUUCUCUGAGCCCAUUCCUCCAUUCCAGUCCAUUUUCUACCCUGCACCUGCACUUGGAGCAUUUUUUUUUCAUGCCCCACCUCCAUUUUAAAGUGGUUCAAGUUUUUCUUUCUUAAAUAGAUGGAGUUAGUGCUGUGCUCUACUAACUGAUGGUGUGUUUCAUCUCUUGCUCUGCCACAUCAGAUAUGAGGUGGCUACUCCAAAAAUAAUCACACAAGGCAGGAUUUCAUCUAUCCCUAAUAUUCUCAGAAGGUUCAUCAGUGGCAUGAUGACAGAAAAAGUGCUACAAAAGCCAUGUGAAGAAGUACAUGUUUGCUUCCCCUUCUGUCAUGAUUGUAAGUUUCCUGAGGCCUCCAGAGCCAUGCUGAACUAAACCUUGUGAUUACAUUGAGCCUACCUGAAUGAUCCAGGAUAAUCGUCCCAUAUCAAGGAGAGCAAAGUGAAUAGUGUGAUUUGCUUAGAGGACAAUGCUGCUACAAAAACCUGUUCCACUCCAAGGCCAACUGCAGUUUUGAGAUGUUUGAGUUGCUCCCAGUUUUAUGCUACCAUGAAUGAGUUGGACCCUGACUGAAACACAACUAAAUUGUCUACCAAUUUUACAAGUGAAUAGACAAAUACAUAAUG